UACGUAGGGGCAAGCGUUGUCCGGAUUUACUGGGCGUAAAGAGCGUGUAGGCGGCCACGCAGGUCCGUUGUGAAAACUGGAGGCUCAACCUUCAGACGUCGACGGAAACCGUGUGGCUAGAGUCCGGAAGAGGAGAGUGGAAUUCCUGGUGUAGCGGUGAAAUGCGCAGAUAUCAGGAAGAACACCAAUGGCGAAGGCAGCUCUCUGGGACGGUACUGACGCUGAGACGCGAAAGCGUGGGGAGCGAACAGG
rnacentral:rRNA from 1 species